rnacentral:rRNA from 1 species
UACAGAGGGUGCAAGCGUUGUUCGGAAUUAUUGGGCGUAAAGGGCGCGUAGGCGGUGCGGUAAGUCUGUAGUGAAAUCUCUGGGCUCAACUCAGAGUCUGCUGCAGAAACUGCCGUGCUUGAGUGUGGGAGAGGUGAGUGGAAUUCCCGGUGUAGCGGUGAAAUGCGUAGAUAUCGGGGAGGAACACCUGUGGCGAAAGCGGCUCACUGGACCACAACUGACGCUGAGGCGCGAAAGCUAGGGGAGCAAACAGG